GUUUAGGGGGUGUUUGUUUGACCGGAUUAGGAGGGACUGGACUAGACUAGACUAAUUGCUAGUGUAGUCUCAUGUUUGGUUUGCACAAGGAUUAGGUUUAAUGGGAUUAGGGGGGACUCGCUCGGAUUAAUGGCUUCGCUAGGAGUUCUUAGCGAAGUACCCCAAACUCGGCCGGACUCGUAAGACCUUCACGAGAGAGAACCUUGCGCAUCCUGAGUCGUCACACAUCGCUCCUGCUUGCCCUGCUCCCUCAUCCUCGUCCACCUCACCCCCAUCUCUGAGUCCUGCUUGCCUGCAUCCUGCUCGCCCUCAUCUGCUCCUCUUGCCUGAAGGGGUUUUGUUUCUAGGCUGGAAAGGAAAAAGACACUGAAAACCCGUAUCUUUGCAUCAGAACUCAAGAAAGUGUUUGUCCAAAUGCUUUUAAAUGACAAAGGAAGUGGAUGAUUUUAUUAUGUGGUGCCCUUUGACAUGGGUGUAUUUUUUUAAUCGUACAAUCCUUUUGACAUGGGAUGUAUUUUGUUAAUCGUACAAUCUUAGGUUAUAGCUUCUAACUUAGCUUGGAAACCAAAACAAACUGAUUGAAAUUAUCUUGCUUAGAGUUGAGUAUAAUUUCUUAGUGGCAAGUUGGCAAAAGAAGAGAAAAAAAUCAUAGAUGUUCAAUUUUCUAUCACAGUUGCAUUUUACUUUGAGAAAUUUACUUUUUAUUGUGCAGUUAAACAUCCUGCUUUUUCACUUCUAAAACUAGUGAUGUAACUUUUGAUUAUCUCAAGUUAUUUAUUGAUUUACUAGGAGGUUUGUUGCCUUUUGCAGAAGGGGUUUUGUUUCUAGGCUGGAAAGGAAAAAGACACUGAAAACCCGUAUCUUUGCAUCAGAACUCAAGAAAGUGUUUGUCCAAAUGCUUUUAAGUGACAAAGGAAGUGGAUGAUUUUAUUAUGUGGUGCCCUUUGACAUGGGUGUAUUUUUUUAAUCGUACAAUCCUUUUGACAUGGGAUGUAUUUUGUUAAUCGUACAAUCUUAGGUUAUAGCUUCUAACUUAGCUUUGCACUGUGAAAUAUUUUGGCUAAUUUUAACUAAGAUUUUGUAAAUUAUGGGGAUCUACUAAGAAGCAGGAUUUUGUAAAUUAAGCCAACUCGUAAUUUUGUGUCUGCCAAGCAA